rnacentral:sRNA from 1 species
GCCAGGGGCAGUGUUGCACGCCUGUAAUCCAAGCAGCUUAGGAGGCUGAGACAGGAGGAUCACGAGUUCAAAGCCAGCCUCUGCAAAAGUGAGGAGCUAAGCAACUUGGUGAGACCCUGUCUCUA